UGCAAUCCAGGUGUUAAGUGUAUG
rnacentral:siRNA from 1 species